rnacentral:tRNA from 1 species
GGAGGGAUGGCCGAGUGGUUUAAGGCGGCGGUCUUGAAAACCGCUGGGCGAAAGCCCCGUGGGUUCGAAUCCUACUCCCUCCGCCA